rnacentral:rRNA from 1 species
UACAGAGGGUGCAAGCGUUGCUCGGAUUUACUGGGCGUAAAGCGUGCGCAGACGGCUGAGCAAGUUGGACGUGAAAGCCUGGGGCUCAACUCCAGAAUUGCGUUCAAAACUACUCGGCUCGAGUAUGGGAGAGGGAAGUGGAAUUCCUGGUGUAGAGGUGAAAUUCGUAGAUAUCAGGAGGAACACCAGCGGCGAAGGCGGCUUCCUGGCCCAUUACUGACGUUCAGGCACGAAAGCGUGGGGAGCAAACAGG